AAAACGGAGAGUUUGAUCCUGGCUCAGGAUGAACGCUGGCGGUAUGCUUAACACAUGCAAGUCGAACGGUGUCUUCGGACACAGUGGCGGACGGGUGAGUAACGCGUGAGAAUCUGGCUCUAGGUCUGGGACAACCACUGGAAACGGUGGCUAAUACCGGAUGUGCCGAGAGGUGAAAGGUUAACUGCCUAGAGAUGAGCUCGCGUCUGAUUAGCUAGUAGGUAGUGUAAUGGACUACCUAGGCGACGAUCAGUAGCUGGUCUGAGAGGACGAUCAGCCACACUGGGACUGAGACACGGCCCAGACUCCUACGGGAGGCAGCAGUGGGGAAUUUUCCGCAAUGGGCGAAAGCCUGACGGAGCAAUACCGCGUGAGGGAGGAAGGCUCUUGGGUCGUAAACCUCUUUUCUCAGGGAAGAACACAAUGACGGUACCUGAGGAAUAAGCAUCGGCUAACUCCGUGCCAGCAGCCGCGGUAAUACGGAGGAUGCAAGCGUUAUCCGGAAUGAUUGGGCGUAAAGCGUCCGCAGGUGGCAAUGUAAGUCUGCUGUUAAAGAGUCUAGCUCAACUAGAUACAAGCAGUGGAAACUACAUAGCUAGAGUACGUUCGGGGCAGAGGGAAUUCCUGGUGUAGCGGUGAAAUGCGUAGAGAUCAGGAAGAACACCGGUGGCGAAGGCGCUCUGCUAGGCCGUAACUGACACUGAGGGACGAAAGCUAGGGGAGCGAAUGGGAUUAGAUACCCCAGUAGUCCUAGCCGUAAACGAUGGAUACUAGGCGUGGCUUGUAUCGACCCGAGCCGUGCCGUAGCUAACGCGUUAAGUAUCCCGCCUGGGGAGUACGCCGGCAACGGUGAAACUCAAAGGAAUUGACGGGGGCCCGCACAAGCGGUGGAGUAUGUGGUUUAAUUCGAUGCAACGCGAAGAACCUUACCAAGGCUUGACAUGUCGCGAAUCCUGGUGAAAGCCGGGAGUGCCUUCGGGAGCGCGAACACAGGUGGUGCAUGGCUGUCGUCAGCUCGUGUCGUGAGAUGUUGGGUUAAGUCCCGCAACGAGCGCAACCCUCGUUUUUAGUUGCCAGCAUUAAGUUGGGCACUCUAGAGAGACUGCCGGUGACAAACCGGAGGAAGGUGGGGAUGACGUCAAGUCAGCAUGCCCCUUACGCCUUGGGCUACACACGUACUACAAUGCUCCGGACAGAGGGCAGCAAGCAUGCGAAUGCAAGCAAAUCCCGUAAACCGGAGCUCAGUUCAGAUCGCAGGCUGCAACUCGCCUGCGUGAAGGAGGAAUCGCUAGUAAUUGCAGGUCAGCAUACUGCAGUGAAUUCGUUCCCGGGCCUUGUACACACCGCCCGUCACACCAUGGAAGCUGGUAGUGCCCGAAGUCAUUACUCCAACCUUUCGGGGAGGAGGAUGCCUAAGGCAGGACUGGUGACUGGGGUGAAGUCGUAACAAGGUAGCCGUACCGGAAGGUGUGGCUGGAUCACCUCCUUU
rfam:Nostoc punctiforme PCC 73102, complete genome.